rnacentral:lncRNA from 1 species
CCUGAUGGAGCAGGUGGCUCACCAGACCAUGGUCAUGCAGUUCAUCCUGGAGUUGGCCAAGAGUCUGAAGGUCGACCCCCGGGCCUGCUUCCGGCAGUUUUUCACCAAGAUCAAGACUGCUGACCAGCAGUACAUGGAGGGCUUCAAGUAUGAACUGGAGGCCUUUAAGGAGCGUGUGCGGGGCCGCGCCAAGCUGCGAAUAGAGAAGGCCAUGAAGGAGUACGAGGAGGAGGAGCGCAAGAAGAGGCUAGGCCCUGGUGGCCUGGACCCUGUGGAGGUCUACGAAUCUCUGCCUGAGGAGCUGCAGAAGUGCUUUGAUGUGAAGGAUGUACAGAUGCUGCAAGACGCCAUCAGCAAGAUGGAUCCUACUGAUGCCAAGUAUCACAUGCAGCGUUGCAUCGAUUCUGGCCUCUGGGUCCCCAACUCCAAGUCUGGAGUGGAGGAAGGAUUAUCGAGUUCAAGGUCAUCCUCAGCUAUAUAGAGAAAUCAAGGACAAACUGGACUGCAUAAGCACCUGUCUCAGAAAAGAAGAAAGAAGCCAGGUGGUCGCGGUACAUGCCUUCGAUCCCAGCAUUCAGGAGGCAGAAGCAAGCGGAUCUCUGAGUUUGAGGCCAUUCUCAUCUACAGAGUGAAUUCCAGGACAGCCAGGGCUGCACAGAGAAGCCCUGUCAUGGAAAAAAAAUGAAGAGGAGGAGGAUGUGGGGGAUGGAGAUGGCUGCUCUUGCAGAGGACUUGGAUUUGCUUCUCAGACUCACAUGGUAGACACCCAUCCGUAACUCCAAUGCCCUCUUCUGGCCUUCAUGGACACCAGGCAUACAUGUGCUGUGCAGAAACACCAACAGGCUACAUUUCCAUAUCUACAAGUAUAAAAAAAAACAAACCUAAAAGCAAGGAGGAAGUGAGCAGAGCACAGACUGCAGAGCUCUGGUUCAAGAUUCAAUCUCAAGCAUCCCAGAUGAAGAGAGAAAGGGUUGGUAAGGGUCCCAAGGUAGAAGGAAAGAAAACACGGUUCAGGGGCAGAGCUGACAGGAAGCUCUAAGCUUGACUGUCUUAGUCUAAAGUCUGGCUUCUCAUUUCUUGUGGUUUGAGGAGGUCACCCCUAGCCCUGGGCGUUUGACUUUGUGGUUCCCAGUUGGUGUAGCUGUUUGGGGAGGUGUGGAAGAUGUGACCUUGCAGGAGGAAGUGCAUCACUGGGAGUAGGCUUUGAGAGUUGAGGCUCAUGACAUUCCUGGCUUGCUCUGUUUCCUGCUUGUGGUUGCAGAUAUUAUCUCACAGGUCUUCCAUGCCCCGGACUUUCUGCUAUACUUCAUGCCAUUGUGGCGAUGGAUUCUUAUCCCUCUGAAACCCUAAGCCCCAAAUAAACUUCCCUUCUGU